rnacentral:misc_RNA from 1 species
GAUGAAGAACGUAGCGAAAUGCGAUACUUGGUGUGAAUUGCAGAAUCCCGCGAAUCAUCGAGUUUUUGAACGCAAGUUGCGCCCGAAGCCAUUCGGCCGAGGGCACGUCUGCCUGGGUGUCACGCAUCGUUGCCCCCCCAAACUCCGGUUCGGGCGGGGCGGAAGUUGGCCUCCCGUGCGUGCCUGCGCGCGCGGUUAGCCCAAAAGCGAGUCCUCGGCGACGAGCGCCACGACAAUCGGUGGUUUUUUUACCCUCGUUCCUCGUCGUGCGUGUCCCGUCGCCCGAACGCGCUCUUGCGACCCUCACGCGUCGCCUCGGCGGCGCUCCCAGCGCGACCCCAGGUCAGGCGGGACUACCCGCUGAGUUUAAGCAUAUCAAUAAGCGGAGGA